AGUGAACGCUGGCGGUAGGCCUAACACAUGCAAGUCGAACGGCAGCACAGUAAGAGCUUGCUCUUACGGGUGGCGAGUGGCGGACGAGUGAGGAAUACAUCGGAAUCUACUUUUUCGUGGGGGAUGACGUAGGGAAACUUACGCUAAUACCGCAUACGACCUACGGGUGAAAGCAGGGGAUCUUCGGACCUUGCGCGAUUGAAUGAGCCGAUGUCGGAUUAGCUAGUUGGCGGGGUAAAGGCCCACCAAGGCGACGAUCCGUAGCUGGUCUGAGAGGAUGAUCAGCCACACUGGAACUGAGACACGGUCCAGACUCCUACGGGAGGCAGCAGUGGGGAAUAUUGGACAAUGGGCGCAAGCCUGAUCCAGCCAUACCGCGUGGGUGAAGGAGGCCUUCGGGUUGUAAAGCCCUUUUGUUGGGAAAGAAAAGCAGCAGGUUAAUACCCCGCUGUUCUGACGGUACCCAAAGAAUAAGCACCGGCUAACUUCGUG
rnacentral:rRNA from 1 species